rnacentral:rRNA from 1 species
GAUGAACGCUGGCGGCGUGCCUAAUACAUGCAAGUCGAGCGAACAGACGAGGAGCUUGCUCCUCUGACGUUAGCGGCGGACGGGUGAGUAACACGAGGAUAACCUACCUAUAAGACUGGGAUAACUUCGGGAAACCGGAGCUAAUACCGGAUAAUAUAUUGAACGGCAUGGUUCAAUAGUGAAAGACGGUUUUGCUGUCACUUAUAGAUGGAUCCGCGUCGCAUUAGCUAGUUGGUAAGGUAACGGCUUACCAAGGCAACGAUGCGUAGCUGACCUGAGAGGGUGAUCAGCCACACUGGAACUGAGACACGGUCCAGACUCCUACGGGAGGCAGCAGUAGGGAAUCUUCCGCAAUGGGCGAAAGCCUGACGGAGCAACGCCGCGUGAGUGAUGAAGGUCUUCGGAUCGUAAAACUCUGUUAUUAGGGAAGAACAAAUGUGUAAGUAACUAUGCACGUCUUGACGGUACCUAAUCAGAAAGCCACGGCUAACUACGUG